rnacentral:rRNA from 1 species
UACGUAGGGUGCAAGCGUUGUCCGGAUUUAUUGGGCGUAAAGAGCUCGUGGGCGGCUUGUUGCGUCGACUGUGAAAACCCGCGGCUUAACUGCGGGCUUGCAGUUGAUACGGGCAGGCUAGAGUUCGGUAGGGGAGACUGGAAUUCCUGGUGUAGCGGUGAAAUGCGCAGAUAUCAGGAGGAACACCGGUGGCGAAGGCGGGUCUCUGGGCCGAUACUGACGCUGAGGAGCGAAAGCGUGGGGAGCGAACAGG